rnacentral:rRNA from 1 species
GACGAACGCUGGCGGCGUGCUUAACACAUGCGAGUCGUACGGUAAGGCCCUUUCGGGGGUCCACGAGUGGCGAACGGGUGAGUAACACGUGAGUAACCUGCCCACAACUUUGGGAUAACGCUAGGAAACUGGUGCUAAUACUGGAUAUGUGCUCCUGCUGCAUGGUGGGGGUUGGAAAGCUCCGGCGGUUGUGGAUGGACUCGCGGCCUAUCAGCUUGUUGGUGGGGUAGUGGCCUACCAAGGCGGCGACGGGUAGCCGGCCUGAGAGGGUGACCGGCCACAUUGGGACUGAGAUACGGCCCAGACUCCUACGGGAGGCAGCAGUGGGGAAUAUUGCACAAUGGGCGCAAGCCUGAUGCAGCAACGCCGCGUGCGGGAUGACGGCCUUCGGGUUGUAAACCGCUUUCAGCAGGGACGAAGCUUUUUGUGACGGUACCUGCAGAAGAAGCACCGGCUAACUACGUG